CUACGGGGUGCUCCAGUGGGGAAUAUUGCACAAUGGGCGCAAGCCUGAUGCAGCCAUGCCGCGUGUAUGAAGAAGGCCUUCGGGUUGUAAAGUACUUUCAGUAAGGAGGAAGGCAGUUACGUUAAUAGCGUAAUUGUUUGACGUUACUUACAGAAGAAGCACCGGCUAACUCCGUGCCAGCAGCCGCGGUAAUACGGGGGGUGCGAGCGUUAAUCGGAAUUACUGGGCGUAAAGCGCAUGCAGGUGGUCUGUUAAGUCAGAUGUGAAAGCCCCGGGCUCAACCCGGGAUGGUCAUUUGAAACUGGCAGGCUAGAGUACUGUAGAGGGGGGUAGAAUUUCAGGUGUAGCGGUGAAAUGCGUAGAGAUCUGAAGGAAUACCGGUGGCGAAGGCGGCCCCCUGGACAGAUACUGACACUCAGAUGCGAAAGCGUGGGGAGCAAACAGGAUUAGAUACCCUAGUAGUC
rnacentral:rRNA from 1 species